ensembl:lncRNA
GUGAGCGAGAGACUGACAGACCUUUGAGGAAGUGGAGGACGGGAGCACAUGGGCGUGGAGAAUAACGGUUUCUCAUUGCUCUUCACAUGUAGCACAACGGAGGGCGAGCCGCACCUUACUGAGCACUGGCAUGACUACUACCACGACCACGGACACCAUGGGCACCAAGAUUUGUUCCGCCUUCUUACUCCUUCUAAUAUUACAAGGGUCAUGGGCUUUCAACACGACAGCUAGUAUGGUUACAGUGUCCAGCGAGCCCCCUGCCACCAAUGUUUCAGGCCUUGCAGACAACAUUACGGCUGUGAGCAGAACCACAAGAGAUGUGAUCCCUCAGAAGACUGGACUUGGAAACAUCAGUAUGACAACGGGUCCCAUUUCAAUCCCACCAGCGAUCACCCAACCAGGUGCAGCUCACACAUCCAUCAGAGACAAACUCUUCCCCAACUAUGAAACCCCAAACACCCUGGAAACAAAAAGAAUUUUUCACCAACAAAGGUAACUAUUCCACCUUACUUUAACUCUAAUCUGAUAAAGUACUUUUUAAACCUUUCUUUACCUUUAAUCUGAUAAAGUACCUAAUCCACUUUACUUUUCCUUUAAUCUGAUAGAGUUCCUAUUCCACUUUACUUACCUUUAAUCUGAUAAGAGUUCCUAUUCCACUUUACUUUACCACUAAUCUGACAGAGUGCAUAUUCACCUUUCCUUUACCUUUAAUCUGACCGAGUAUUCUUUCUUUACUUUUAAUCUGACAGAGUACCUAUGACACUUUACCUUUCCUUCAAAUGACCGAGUACUAAUCACAUUAAUUUACCUUUAAUCUGACAGAGUAUCAAUAAUUUAACUUCUAUUCCACCUUACUUUACCUCUACUCUGAUGGCGUAUCUUUUACCCUUUAACUUGCCAUUAAUCGGAGUAUCUACGACACCUUACCUUUAAUGGAUGGGCGUAUCAAGCCUGACAGGAUCAGAAGCCCACCAGGGCGGCUGGGACCCACCUGCUCUCCCCCUGCCAACACACUCUGUGCAAACAACAGACGACCGUGUACAGACACUUGGAUCCCCCCCGCGGCGCAGACUCACAAUACGCCAACUGCAGACAGCUCAGACUUUCUCUCCCUUGUCUCUCUAUAGAUUUCGACGAGCUGGAUAAACGAUUCACGUAUGAUUACUUUACUCUGCGGAAGGCCGGGCUGGUGGUGGCGGCGGUGCUCUUCCUCCUCGGCCUCCUGGUGCUGGGCUGCGGACCCGGAGGACGCCUGCCAAAAUGCCGCCGUCUGAGGGCCACAAAGUCAUACCAAAUGGAGAAAAAAUGAGGACAGAGUUUCUGCAGAGUUAUGUAAAGUGUAGACUAACUUUGGAGUUGUGUGUGCAGAAAGCAUCAGUAAAGUACAAUUACCUAAAUAAAAUCCUUGCCUGUGUGUGUGUGUGUGUGUGUGUGUGUGUGUGUGUGUGUGUGUGUGCGCGCGCGUGUGUGUGUGUGUGUUGUGUCUGUGCGUGUGUGUUUGUAUGUGUGCAUGACAUGUGUGUGUUUACACAACUGUGUGCACAUGGGUGUGCUUUGUAUGACUAAGCCUCAGCACCAUGAGCCUAAGCCUCAUGCCUAAGAAUGGAAAAACACUGAAGACUUGAAGUCAACAUGAAUAAAACAGACAGGGAAGACUGCAGGACUCUGGUUGACCUCCAUUAAAGUUAGCCUAGCUAACUCAACAUAAUGACACAACUGAGCGUGUCUUCAGUUUAUUUACCAAGCUAACUUAACCUAACUAAAGACAUACAUUUAGUUCAGUUAACCUGCUUUUUGAACCUCCCUAUAGCCACAAGCAUACGUGUCUUUAGUUUACCUAGCUAACUAAAUAUCACUAAAGCACAUAACUGAACCUAACUUAGACCUAACUAUAGACACAAGUGUAUGCGUCUUGAGUUAACCCGCUGACUAAACCAAAAUGAAACAUGUGUGUCUUUGUUUUUUUAACCCAGCUUACUAAACCUAACUAAACAAACACGUGUGCCUUUAGUUAGGUUAACAGAGAUAACCAAACCUUAAUAAGACCCACAUAUAUUGCUUUUGAUACUUGUAAGGACCCAUGCACGUUGCUUCUAGGUACCCGUUAAGGGGAAUCUACUUGAGACGCGAUGGGACACGUGACGGUUCUUGUAGUAUCAGCCAUCUUUUUUGACUUGACUAUUUUGUUCAACUUUUCAAUAUUUGGUUAGCUUUGAGCCAACAGAAACAAUGCUAUCCACAUUUUGUUUGAUGUUGUAAACAGCCCGAUAGUGGCGAAUCAUAAUUUUUAUUAUUCAAGAUAACUUCAGUUUUUGAUUACAUUGAAAUCAUCAGCCGACGUCAGGAUGUAAAUAAAAUAAAAUUAUCAGUUCUGUUUUCGGUUCUGGGAAGGUGUGUGUCUGUAUUCCAACGUCUCUAUUAGUCAUAGUAAUGACACGUGUUUGUCACAGUAACGACCAAUACAGUAAUACUUAAGAGAUUACCUGUAUGUGUAAUGCUGCAUGUCUUGGCUGGCGUAACAAGAAAACAGCAAGCCACUUUAGACUGAAAUACAAGUGGUUUGUUUUUAUUAGGAGCCCGUUUUUGUCAUUAUAUAUUUAUUUUUAAAAAAGCAUGAAAAUGGCAAACAGACAUUUUAUUGCUGAUAUGAUCAAGAACAUUUGAAAUGAGGGUAUUGCUUUACCACCAGGUGGAGCGAACACAGAGCGAGGAGCAACAGCUGUUUCCCUUUGCUUAAGAGUAUUGGUAGCACAGGUAAUAACAAAAUGUAAAGUAACUAUAGCAUAAUAGUAUUAGAUAGUAUAGCAGCUAUGUAAAACUACUGCACUAUCCCAUAUUGUUAGAUAGUUUAGUAGAAUGACAUAGUAUAGCAAUGAUGUAAAACAACUAUACUAUCUUAUAUGGUUAGAUGGUUUAGUAGUAUUAGAUAGAGCUUGCAUAGUAAGCACGCAGAGAGCGCAUGCCUGAAUGACAUCAUAAAAAGAGAAACCUUUUUUACAUAUAUAUUUGUAUAUAUAUAUAUAUAUAUAUAUAUAUAUAUAUAUAUAUAUAUAUACAGUCUUAUUUUUUCCAUGAGAUACAAUGCCUAUACAUACAAUUUUUAACCGAUCGUAGGCGUAACAAUAUACCACAUCCAAAGGGUGAGACCAGGUCGGAGACCCCAGAAGCGCACCUUAAAGGGGUGAUAUCAGGCCAACAGGUUUGAAUGUGAUCAGCCAUAGACCUCUGAAGAAUAAGUCCCGCCCCCAAGGCUGAGUACAGAGUUUGUUAUGUACGAUCAUUCUACAACCACAUGUUAUUUCCCAUGGACAUUUGACUGAGGGAUCCGGGAGGUUCGGAGCCGGGACUUAUUCUUCAGAGGUCUAUUACAAGCUGUUUGAAAAUUCUGCCCCGCCCCUCCCCCUUGUCUUUCUGUCACGGGUAUAAAAAUCUCUCCCCAACCCCCAUCUUGUCUCUCUGUCCCGGUUAUAAAACCCCAUCUUCCCAACCCCCAGCCAUCAUAGAGCUAUUUAUUUUAUUUACAAUCUUCCAGGCUGAGGACGUUGGAGAGAUUGUCUUCUGGAGGAAGUGGGGGGAAAAAAAACGUCAUCAUUCAUGGCGGUCGAUUAAUUCACUGCCUCGCAACAGGAUGUUCUAACUAGCACUGCACACACACACACACACACACAGACGCACACACACACACACACACACACACACACACACACACACACACACACACACACACACACACACACACACACACACACACACACACACACACACACACACACUAGUUGAGCCUGGCCUGAGUUGUGGGGAAAGCCAGCUUUAUCUCCCAUCCCCUCCUGCCACUCCUACUGGGUGAAGAACAGGGGAUGUCAGGCAAAUGAAGAGGAAACCGAAGUGAGAACUGAGCCACUCUGCUGUGGAUUAGCACGGUUUGUCUUUGAAAUAAGCCUGUUCCGCUCGUGGCAGGUCUGUCCCAACAGAUCCCCCACAUCAAUGUUUCCACCACGCACCUUAGCCGGAGAGGAAUGGGAGAAAUCCCGCUCACAACAGAAGCCGUUCCAUUUAAAGAAACAUUUAAAGGCUCCCGCGUUUCAUCUUUAAAUAGAAUCUUAUUAAAAGGCUUAAUGUGUUCCAAAUGUUCCCAAGUGAAAUGGUGUGUUCAUAUUAUAAUGCAAAAAUGCAGGAUUGAAGCAUGACAGAAAGGCAAACAUCACUUUCUAAUUAUUAAUAUGAGCGUGGCACAGAUCAGCAGCGAGAAAUACAAGUAUACAGGGAUAUGCAAGAUGGCGCCUUAACCUAAACCUGUCCGGGGUCAAACCCUGAACCUGUCCGGGUCAAACCCUGAACCUGUCCGGGGUUAAACCCUUAACCCUGUGAGUGAAAUAUGUGGUCAGUGCAUUGGUCCUCCUUUCGGUGUUCUACUGGGUCCUGGGGGGCUGGAACCCAGGAGCUACACAGAGACCUUCUGGUCCUGGUCUGCGGGCACCGAGUACACGCUGGAGAGGAAGAGAGGGGCAGGCAUGAGUAUAAUCCUAGAGGAAAUACUUUCACAGUGCUAGGAAGAACACGUCCGCCCGGCCCAGCGGGUGAUCAGGUGCAAGUGUCAGGUGCACGGCGGCUGUGUCACCUCUAAGUCACGUCUCAUCCCCAGGUGAAACUUAUCUAUCUGGCAAGGAGACGCUUGUUGAUCCAACAAGCAAAGGGUUGCAGCGCGAUUAAGCCUCUCUCUUGAGCAGUGCAAUCAGGCACUGCUGCCGUACCACCAGGGGGCCUGCAGUAAUCCUGCAGAGAAUUUAACCCUCGUGGAGACCUGCCUGCUCCAAAGUCACCACCCAGACUUGGAACACUCUGGGAACUGAUCUCUGUAAUCCCCCCCCCGCCCCCAUGCUGUCUUGAAGUUACAGGGUUUAACCCCUCCCCUCACCUUCCAAUUUCCAAGGCAAAAUAAACUAUUAAGUCUGCCAACUUGUAAAACUAGAGCAAAUACUAUGAUUAGCUCAGCGAGGGAUAGGUGAGGGGACAGGUGGGGGCAGGAGAAGGCUUCUCUGCUGGACCGGUUCAGGCGGUUUGGCUGUUUGGCUGAUAGCUGUUGUCAGGUUGUUGUCUUGACGUCAAGACAGAGUUGGUUUAUUCAGACCAGAGUCGUCUCGUCAGGCUGUUAAUCAUGAAGGGGGUUGUGACAGGCCAGGUCCUGUUCUGCAGGCCCCGCUGCAAGAGGUUACUAAAGGUUUAUCUCUGGGCCAUUGUUCCUGAGAAGGACACGCUGAAGGGUGGAGUGAGGCGACUGAUAAUGGUGGAGGAGGUGGAGGAGGAGGAGGAGGAGGAGGAGGAGGAGAGCCUUGUGAUAUACAAGUCCUGACGUGCUGUGGCUGGUAGCUGCACAUGGUUGGCUGUGUGGCUUGUUGUUGUCAUGUUUUAUUCUCUCUCUAACUUUGGCUGAACUCCGGAGAAACUGUUACCCAUCAGACUGGUUUGAUCACUCCCUGGCUGAGUAAGCGUAAAAGGAAAGCAAGCGUAUAUCUCCCCCUCCCGAUAUGCACAGGUGCAGUGGAACGACGCGCUAUAACUCUUUACACCAGAUAACUGCAGCGUGACCUGCUUUAUAUACAGUAGUGCACCACUAAGAGCUGCUUUAAAUGCUCACACACUCCUUGUACUUUGUUGAACUAAAGACACAUCAAUCUCACGGGGAGAUCAGGAACAUAUUUUGUUAUGGCCGAUGACAAACAAUGCGGCUAAACUUUUGCAGGUCCAGAGAGAACUGAGAGUAGGUGCUUACCCUUGCUGACGCCUUUGCAUGUUGCGUCGGACCAACAGUAUUGCUGCAAGAGAGGAACAAUAACAGAAAGGUUUACACACCAACGUCGUCAAGCUCGACAAAGCACCAGGUACUGUUGCGAGGACUUACCAAUUAUCACAGCGACAGACAGAGCCACCAUGGCC